GUGAGGCGGCGGCCGGGCGCUGAUGGGCACUGACGGUGGUCACUAGGCCGACUCCGACUAGAGUCCUGUUAGCUUGAAGAGGCCGUGAGGCAUCGGUCACCGCAUUGUUUUAGUGGACCAGUUAGUAGCCGGAACAAUUUUUGGCAGACCACCAUUUCCCCCUACCGGAUUAUCCUGCCAUCGGCUUUGACCGUUUCAGUGCCCAACAACCACCUUUUCCCAAUAACAGACCAGGAAAGGAAUUAUCUGAUUCAGAAUACAGCCUGUACUCCAUCCUUUCCUCGGUGAAACCUCAAAUUCCUUAGGGUGACAUUGAGGGCCAUUUAUCAUGACCAACCUCACCGCUUGCCGCCUGCCCUCUACACUCCAGUGUUUUUCAGUAUACCCUGUUCUUAAUAAUAAAAAUAAUAAUAAUUCCCCUCUCUUCUCCGCCCUUCAAGUGUGGCAGAAAUUUGGCAGACUGCAAGAAAUACUUGUCUUCAGUACCAAAUUUAUAUUUAUGGGUUGACUGCCAGGUGCCACUGCUUAAGGUGCUGGGGAUACAAAGGACUUAUUUAGCAACAUCAAUGAUACACAGAAUAAAUUCAACUGAAUUUAAGAAUGGAGUAUGAAGUAGCAAGUGCUAGGAACAAAAAUGAAUCAUAUAAGUUAAACAUUUAUUUGGAGAUGAAUUUAUACCGACU
rnacentral:lncRNA from 1 species